rnacentral:tmRNA from 1 species
CCCCUUUGCAACCGCAACGAAGCACACUAUAUAGCUGCUGUUCCCUUGUGGAACUAUGGACAUAAACGCGCUCGUAAUAAGCGGAUCGGACCCGGGGGCGGUACCCGGCGGCUCCACCAAAAUCCUUCGUUUGGGGAUCAUGGGGCCGAAACAGGAUCGACGGACGUCUAAAGGGGUAUGCUUUGUCUCGGCGGGGUGCCACCGUACCGGCCCGAACAGUACAAUUGCAAACGACAAUCGUGCUCCGGUUGCUCUGGCUGCGUAAGCAGUUCGAGGAAUCGAAAUCUAAGUCCUUGCGCCUAGCCGCGUAAGGCGGGGUCCGCAGGUACCUGGCAACAGAAACCUGCACU